UCCCUUGUGGCUCAGUUGGUAGAGCAUGGUGUUUGCAACGCCAGGGUUGUGGGUUCGAUUGCCAUGGGGGAC
rfam:Salmo salar isolate Sally breed double haploid chromosome ssa06, whole genome shotgun sequence.